rnacentral:rRNA from 1 species
GGGGCAACCCUGAUCCAGCAAUGCCGCGUGUGUGAUGAAGGCCCUAGGGUUGUAAAGCACUUUCGCCGAUGACGAUGAUGACGGUAGUCGGAUAAGAAGCCCCGGCUAACUCCGUGCCAGCAGCCGCGGUAAUACGGAGGGGGCGAGCGUUGUUCGGAAUUACUGGGCGUAAAGGGCGCGUAGGCGGUGACGCUAGUCAGACGUGAAAGCCCCGGGCUCAACCUGGGAGGUGCGUUUGAUACUGCGUUGCUUGAGAGCGGAAGAGGGUAGUGGAAUUCCCAGUGUAGAGGUGAAAUUCGUAGAUAUUGGGAAGAACACCAGUGGCGAAGGCGGCUACCUGGUCCGUUUCUGACGCUGAGGCGCGAAAGCGUGGGGAGCAAACAGGAUUAGAUACCCUGGUAGUCCACGCCGUAAACGAUGAGUGCUAGUACGUCGGGGAACUUGUUCUUCGGUGUCGCCGCUAACGCAUUAAGCACUCCGCCUGGGGAGUACGGCCGCAAGGUUAAAACUCAAAGA